UGAGACACGGCCCGAACUCCUACGGGAGGCAGCAGUGGGGAAUAUUGGACAAUGGGGGCAACCCUGAUCCAGCCAUGCCGCGUGUGUGAAGAAGGCCCCGGGUUGUAAAGCACUUUCAGCGAGGAAGAAUGCUUGUCGGUUAAUACCCGGCAAGGGAGACAUCACUCGCAGAAGAAGCACCGGCUAACUCCGUGCCAGCAGCCGCGGUAAUACGGAGGGUGCGAGCGUUAAUCGGAAUUACUGGGCGUAAAGCGUGCGUAGGCGGCUUGAUAAGCCGGUUGUGAAAGCCCCGGGCCAACCUGGGAACGGCAUCCGGAACUGUUAGGCUAGAGUGCAGGAGAGGAAGGUAGAAUUCCCGGUGUAGCGGUGAAAUGCGUAGAGAUCGGGAGGAAUACCAGUGGCGAAGGCGGCCUUCUGGACUGACACUGACGCUGAGGUACGAAAGCGUGGGUAGCAAACAGGAUUAGAUACCCUGGUAGUCCACGCCGUAAACGAUGUCGACUAGCCGUUGGGGUCCUCGAGACCUUUGUGGCGAGUUAACGCACUAAGUCGACCGCCUGGGGAGUACGGCCGCAAGGUUAAAACUCAAAUGAAUUGACGGGGGCCCGCACAAGCGGUGGAGCAUGUGGUUUAAUUGCGAUGCAACGCGAAGAACCUUACCUACCCUUGACAUCGUGCGAACUUUCCAGAGAUGGUUGGUGCCUUCGGGAGCGCACAGACAGGUGCUGCAUGGCUGUCGUCAGCUCGUGUUGUGAAAUGUUGGGUUAAGUCCCGUAACGAGCGCAACCCUUGUCCCUAUUUGCCAGCGAUUCGGUCGGGAACUCUAGGGAGACUGCCGGUGACAAACCGGAGGAAGGUGGGGACGACGUCAAGUCAUCAUGGCCCUUACGGGUAGGCCUACACACGUGCUACAAUGGCCGGUACAAUGGGUUGCAAAGCGGCGACGUGGAGCUAAUCUCAUAAAGCCGGUCUCAGUCCGGAUCGGAGUCUGCAACUCGACUCCGUGAAGUCGGAAUCGCUAGUAAUCGUGCAUCAGAAUGGCACGGUGAAUACGUUCCCGGGCCUUGUACACACCGCCCGUCACACCAUGGGAGUGGACUGCACCAGAAGUGGUUAGCCUAACUUCGGAGGGCGAUCACCACGGUGUGGU
rnacentral:rRNA from 1 species